GCUUGUCUCAAAGAUUAAGCCAUGCAUGUCUAAGUAUAAGCGACUAUACUGUGAAACUGCGAAUGGCUCAUUAAAUCAGUUAUGGUUUAUUUGAUGGUACCUACUACUUGGAUAACCGUAGUAAUUCUAGAGCUAAUACAUGCAGGAAGACCCGACUCACGAAGGGUUGUAUUUAUUAGAUAAGAAACCUUCCCCUUUGGGUUGCGUGCCGAGUCACAAUAACUGAUCGAAUCGCAUGGGCCUUGCCCGCGAUACAUCAUUCAAGUUUCUGCCCCAUCAGCUUUCGAUGGUAGUGUAUUGGACUACCAUGGCUUUAACGGGUAACGGAGGAUUAGGGUUCGAUUCCGGAGAGGGAGCCUGAGAAACGGCUACCACAUCUAAGGAAGGCAGCAGG
rnacentral:rRNA from 1 species